UGUGUUAAUUCAAAGAAAGCUGAGUCGGCCGGAGCGCGUAGAUAUAUAAGCAUCGGGCGCUCGGUUUUUCAGUCCUUUUCUAUUGUAUAUCUUUAAAACGAGUUUGGCAAGGAGUGGGGAAAGGAACAUUAUUAUAGUUAUACUCAGAAUGCCAAUGAGAGCUUCAAUGCGAUCGUUCGGCGUUUAGCGCCGAAGCAUUUAAAUUAUGGCACAAAAAUAAUUUAAAUAGCUGCUUACUUAGCUGCUGGCAUUUUUAAUGAUGGGUUUUCAUUUUUACUGCAAAUAAUGCAAGAUAUGAAUAUCUAAAUUGGUCAGCAAGCAAAGUUAUUUGCGAAUGCUUAUGACAAACACAGAAUAGAACGCCGCAGCCUCAGUUCAACAAAAGAAGUCCGUACUGCUCGUAAAACAGAAAAAAAUAGCUGAAUUCCAGGCCUUUAAGAAAGAGGAAGACUUGCUGUAUGGCCCUGGAAUUGCUGAUUAAGUAAAAAUUGAGAUUAAUUUUGCGACCUUGCCGUUUCCCGGGGCAAAUUCGAGGAGCAAACUUCAGACAACUGCUGUGCUGUCAUGCUGAAGUUUUUCAACAACAAAAAAAUAUUUUUAAUUAGUUUAAAUAUUAAAUAUUAUCGUAUACUUUGUUAUUUUUUCAUAUAUUUUGUCAUAUUUUUUUUUCAAAUUUGAGGUUUUCCCCUUAAGACGGUGGGAUGAACAAUUACAAUUAGGUCGAAAUCGUAGAGAAAAAUUGUUUUACAUUUCCAAAUUUACACAUGAUAAAUUUACUGCAGCUGUUGAAUCAGGAUUCAUGAUUCAUGAUAUCGAUUUAUAAAGCUGGGCUUUAAAAGCUCAAGAAGAAAUAGGAAAUUUAAAUCCUAUAUUUAAAGCAUCUCUCAGUUAGGUAGCAAGAUUCAAGCAAUCUCGCCGAAUUGUUUUAAGAAAAGUUACGAAAUUUGUCACUAUAAGAACAAUAUAAGAUUCCGUUAAUUUACAAGAAACAGCUGAUAAUUUUGUGAAAACAGUAUAACCACUUAUUGGACAGUUUGGAUCUGAAAAUAUUUAUAAUUUAGAUCAAAGUGGUUUCCAAUUAGAAAUUUAUUCUGGAAGAUUGAUUUGACAUUAUCUUAUCAAGAAGUAAAAUAAGUAGAGCGUGUUGUGCAAUCUAUACCAUCGACAACUCAUUCUUACACAAUACAACCAAUAACAUUGUGUAAUGACAAAUUACUGUCACCUUUAUUUAUUGUAUUAAAAGAAGUUGAUGGUAGUUUUGUUUCAAGAUUAACGAGCAAAAACAAAUAAGGAAAUAAUAUGAUUAAAAAUAAUUUCCAUUAAUUACAAUAAGAAAAUUUUUAAUUGGAAUGUUUUGGCUCUACUAAGCCUUCUUCAGCCAAACUAUUCAUAAAAUUAAGCGAGACAUUUUAACAAUAUUUAAAAAAUCGAACAUUAUUUGUUACAAUAAUUUGGUCGCAUAUUGAACAUUACGGAUAUAUUUUUUCCUGGCAAACAAACGCUCCUGACUAUGAAUUUGUUGGUGAUCUAUUUCUUUUUUUUGCGUAAUUACAAAUUUUUCUAAAAUUACAUAAUAAACCAACAAGUUUUUAUGACUUCACAUAUAAUUCGACGAGCACAGUUAUUGUUACGUUUGUUAUUUGUACAUAAAUGAUGGAUCUAUUAAAUAAUCAGCUAAUUUUUCGAUAGAUAAAUUAAUUUACUUGGCAAAUAUGUCAAUAAUGAUGAAAUGAAAAAUAUGUGAGCGUCCACCAUCGGUUAAUGGUUUUACUGUUAGGGCAAACAAAGCACGACUGAGGUAGAGCGUUUAAGCGAGUAUGGUUACUGUAUUAGAGUAUCUUUAACUAUAUUAGAACGAGUCAAAUAAAAAAAUAAGAAUCAAAA
rnacentral:lncRNA from 13 species